CAUGAAGAAGGAGAAGGUCCGCGACGGGUUCGAAGAUAGGGUGGUCCAGGUGAGAAGGGUGAUGAAAGUUGUUAAGGGAGGGAAGCAGUUGCCGCCGUCGCCGCCGUUCAAAAGUCCGCCUCCAAUGCCAGGAGGAACAUCGUGAAGGUGUCAAUGACUAAGUACUCCACUUUUCCCCACAGAGCACCAGAAAAUUACAAGCAGCCCUUCACGAACCAAAGAUAAUAACCA
rnacentral:sRNA from 1 species